rnacentral:snoRNA from 22 species
CUUGCCAAUGAUGAUAUACACCAAUACAAUUAUUUUCUGGUACCUCUUAUGUCAGGGGUGGGACCUCUGGUCUCACCCCGAUGAUCUAACUGGACUUCUGAUA